rnacentral:rRNA from 1 species
CUUAAUGUUGCCUCGGCGGAUCAGCCCGCGCCCCGUAAAACGGGACGGCCCGCCAGAGGACCCAAACUCUAAUGUUUCUUAUUGUAACUUCUGAGUAAAACAAACAAAUAAAUCAAAACUUUCAACAACGGAUCUCUUGGUUCUGGCAUCGAUGAAGAACGCAGCAAAAUGCGAUAAGUAAUGUGAAUUGCAGAAUUCAGUGAAUCAUCGAAUCUUUGAACGCACAUUGCGCCCGCUGGUAUUCCGGCGGGCAUGCCUGUUCGAGCGUCAUUUCAACCCUCAAGCCCCCGGGUUUGGUGUUGGGGAUCGGCUCUGCCCUUCUGGGCGGUGCCGCCCCCGAAAUACAUUGGCGGUCUCGCUGCAGCCUCCAUUGCGUAGUAGCUAACACCUCGCAACUGGAACGCGGCGCGGCCAUGCCGUAAAACCCCAACUUCUGAAUGUUGACCUCGGAUCAGGUAGGAAUACCCGCUGAACUUAAGCAUAUCAA